AAAAUCCCAAAAUGGCGGAUCCCAUCACAGGCUGAUUCCGUGGGUGGCGCGCGCGCCGCUGUGUUCCCCCCGCGCCUGGUCCUCCCCGUGCCUUGCCGCCGCCCCGAGCGCCCGCUGCCGCUGCACAGGUGGUGAUUGAAGUCUGUCAGAUGUUGAGUGAUAAGUGAAUUAAAGAGAUUCACGUUCAAGUCAACAGGGUAUGAGUCAACUAGCUUUUGGGAACCUUGUGAAUGCUGUUUGUCAGAUAAGUCAAUAUAAUUUAGAAAAGAAAAUCUACUUGAUACUUCAGUUCUCCUCUUCAUAUGAGCUUCAAAUGUAUCAAUUAUAGCAUGGUUCACAUUCUGAAAACCAUUUGAAGAUAUUCUGCCAUCCUAUUGGAUUACUGUGUUUACAGCACAGAAUGUUGUUCUGUCCUGGAUUUAAUAUGGUGUUUAUGAUUUAAUCCACCUUCUCUGUAUGUCUAUGUAUUGGUGAAGCACUGGAACUCUACAGGGCUGCUGUUACUUGUGUGGAAACUGAUCCAUUUUGAAUUCCUUCCAAAGGACUAGACAUUGCUAGCAAUGAGCUCCCAAAGCCAUCCAGGUAUUAAAGAAAACUACUAGGGGAUCACUCGAAACGAGAAAGAAAAAACACUCCGACAGUCACUGCCAGUAAGAAGGAACUGAAGAGGUGGCGGGUCGGCAGGGCCCUAUAUUUAGUGCCAUGAAGGCGCGACUCCAGGGGACACCUGGGCCUAUCUGACAGAUACUGCUAGGGGAAAAAUCUUCCAAGGACUGUGCAUGUGGCGCGCGCACACCUAAUUGGAAUCAACAUGAGCAAGCACUUGAAGAACUGGAAAGUACCCAGUGGUAAAGCCAAUCUUUACAAACUGGACGGAAACAAACAAGAAAACUGAACCAAGAGAAAACAUAGCUAGAUUUUUUUUUUUUCCUUCUUCCUUUACCCACUGUAUGGAGGGUUUUAGUGAAGGAAAGCCAAGAGAGAGACUAUGAAUCUUUUUGUCCAAAAGCUUCAUCCGAUAAAGACAAACAUCUAUUUUAAAGUGAUGGUUAAGAGAACACAUUGAAGACUAGGUUGUCAUACAACAAAAUUACUUUUUGGGCUUGGGAGGGGAAACACAUUGUGCUGUUCUGCACAGGAAACAGCCACAGGCCUGAGGGAGAAAGCCUUGAAAGAAAGGUGAUCGUUUAUGGACAGUUUGUAGGCUUGAUAAACUACUGAGUUUAUCCAUUUGAAAAUGGUAGAUAUGAAUGCCUUGCAGCCCUUCUUAGGUCACCAAUACAAUCCUGAAAUUACACCCAAUUUACUUCAAGGAUUUGUUUUGCAUAAACUGAAUAUAAAUGACUUGACCAUAUCUAAGGAGUGUAACUCAUUCUCCUAGUUGUGGAAGAGCUUGGCACAGAAGGAACCCAUUUUCUUUCAAAACACUUGUUGGGGAUGAAAUGCUGAUAGCAGGCCUGCGAAUCAUCUCAUCUGGGGGAAAAACUGCACAUAAGGAUUCCAGAUAAAUAAGAUCCCCAAACUUACUAACUCUCCAGGCCAAUGCAAUGGCUAACAAGAAAAACAUUUAAUAGAAAGUAUUGGGAAGGCUUUGCCACAUUGACACAAGACUUCAGGUAAUUCCUGAACCUUUUCUUUAGACAAUCUACUAAUCUGACAGCGUUUCUGUAAAGACACAUUUUAAGGAAUUGGGAAGUGAGGAUGUUGUGAGAACCAAACUAAAACAAAAAGGACCAGAAAUGAAAGUAAUAGUUCCAAACACUGAGCCUUGGGCUUGGAAGAAGCUCCAUUUUACCCCUGAUUGUAAGCCAAAUUGGAUUUUUACCUUCAAGAGCACCGUGAAGAUCAAGUUAUUUGAACCCCUUAAAGAGCUCAGGUUUGUGGACUGUUUCUAGAUGUGGGUGGGAAGUCCAUGAGCUCCCCUGAAUAUUCAUGCUGUAGAAAGUAAAAACCACUCAGGUUGCAGUGGAACAACCUCAGGUACUGUAGGUCUGAGACUCCUGAAGUAGAAGUUGCCCCAGUACAGGAAGUUCAAGAAUGCUGAACUUACCACAUGUAUCUGAGAGACUGUGGAUGCCGGAUCACUAGUUUCUGCUGAAAUCCAAAGUAAUCACAAAACUAAUAAUCAGUCCAGAACCCCUUUCUCUAUAUAAGACUCUGCCUACUGAUUUUGUUGUCAUCUAUUACACUGCCAAACCACAUAAGCAGUUUUACAUGGGAGUUGUAACGGGCAUGAAGUUCAGUUUGUGAGCCUUGAACUGCCAUCCUUGGCUUUAGAUAACGUUUAUUUUUUCAAAGAGAAGGAGUACUUGUGGCACCUUAGAGACUAACAAAUUUGAUUUGAGCAUAAGCUUUCAUGAGCUACAGCUCGCUUCAACAGAUCAAGUGAUGAAGUGAGCU